rnacentral:lncRNA from 1 species
CAUAACUUAGAAUCAUAAUAAAAUUAAACAUUCGCCAACUCAUACUGGCAUAUCAAUUAAGUGUACAUUACCUACAACAUGUAUCUUAAUAAUUUACAUCAAGUUUGUCUAUACAUCUCAAAAAAAGAAGACUUGACUUCCAGCGGAGGGACUCGGAUGAAUGUACAGCUACUAAAUGCCGAGAUACCUACUAAAAGAUGGAUAUAAGUCUACAAGGACACCUCGUCCUAAAUACCUGCUGCCUCGUGAUCUGAAAACAUGAAGUUAAAAACGGUGAGUAUAAACCCAGUGAGUGAACAAGAAAGGGAACAAGCAUACCAUAAGGAAUCUUUAAUAAAAUCAUGAUGCAUUCUUUUUCAAAACAAUGCAAUUUGUUUCUAUUCUUAUUAAAAACCCCUCAUCAAGCCCUGAAAUGAUUAAUCCUUUGAAAAUCAUGAACCCAUACAUAACGAACCAUUUGAAGAAUGAAAGCUUCAAUAUUACACAAACAAGUCAAAUACGACAAUGAAUCUUCGCUGUAGCGGAAAGGCAUUCUCAUUGCAGUGUAGCUGCAGCGAGAAUGAAUUUUCGUUGUAGCGACGUUGGGAUUUAGUUAUUAGCCGAACGUGGGUUUCUCAACCGGCCGAGGGUUUCUCACUAAACCUCCCCAUUUUAAACUUAACUCAUAUAAUCCUUAAUGUUGGAAGUCCAUGCUCUGAUAUGGUAGCAAAGUAGUGAAAGAUAGGGCAGCAAUUGGACAAGAUUGGAGACCAAAACAGAAGGUUUUUCGCUGCAGCGAGAUUCUUUCUCGUUGCAGUGAAAUUGUAACCCAGAAAUAGAAGGUUUCUCGCUGCAGCGAAAUUUAACUGAUGAAACAGCGAGUUUUUCGCUGCAACGAGAAGCUACAGUGACUAUCUCGCUACAGCGAAAUACAUUCUCGCUGCAGCGAGAACCAGUUUUGGUGAAGGUUCUCAAACCCGAGAGUUUCUCACUGCAGUGAGAAUGAUUCUCGUUGUAGCGAAAUACAGGGCACCAAACGAAAAUUUCCCUUUCUCCCAAAGAAAACCACCCUGCUUGAAAUGUUCAAAACCAAUAAGAAAUACAUAACAACUUCCCAAAGUUUAACAUACCGAAUUUCACAUACAUUACAUCCAUAUACAUAACUCAUAAAUGUAUUAUAACACACAUGUUUACGUAUGUAUACAUAUACAUAUACCUAUCACCAUCAUGCACACCAUCACAUCAUCAUCAUCACCAGCUCAUGCGCACUCCCUACUCGCACAUGGCUGGGUCAUCACCGGGUUAUGCGCACUCCCUACUCGCACAUAACCAGGUCAUCCUCGGCUUAUGUGCACUCCCUACUCGAACAUAGCCGAGUCAAUAUAAUUACACAACAUUAUAUUCAAGCAUAUAUGUAUAUCAACAUAAUGCAGCCACAUAGAAAUCCAUAAUAACCACAUAUCAUAACAUAAACCAUUUCACAAGAGCUUAUUCCCAAGGCAUUCAUUUUUUAGAAAAGUUGUAUAAAAUCAUUCAAACACUUUGUUUAAAACAGUCAUAUUCCCAAAACAAUUUUGAUAGGCAGUCCACUCACCAAUUGAUUGUAAAGCCUUUAGAUGACUCUAAUUCCUCUAAUUGUCCAAAUGAGAUGGUGAGGCUUCCUUAGAACCGAGGAUCACAUUAGCAUAAGCAAUAGGUCAAUUUUACACACUAUGAACCCUAAAAGCUAUCUUUUAGCUAGUUUUCAAUUGCCACAUUAAAUGGCCAUCUAUGUUCACUAUCUUAAUCACUAAAGUAAUGAACAUACUCAACAAUAAACAGCUCAUAAAUCCCAAUUACUAGUCAUUUUCUGUAGCUAAAAACCAAGCUUAAUUCAUCACUUACCCUAAGGCUCCUUUGUAGUCAAAUUCUCUCCCAAUAGCUUCCAAAUAAAUGGUGUAAUUCUCUCUUUCUCUCUCUAGAACGUCUAGCUAAUGAGAGAAAGUAUGAAAAUCAGAUUUUUGAAAGGUUUUAAAGUGAGAGGAUGAAAGAGCAUAAGGGUUUAUGGAAGAGUACACCAAAAGCAUGAAAAUUGGAGCUAGAGAGAGAAAGUUAUGGAAGCUUGAAGAAAACUCCCAUGGAGAAAUUGAAGAAACGUGAGAGAGGAGAAGGGAAGAA